UACGUAGGGGGCAAGCGUUGUCCGGAAUCAUUGGGCGUAAAGCGCGCGUAGGCGGCCCGGUAAGUCCGCUGUAAAAGUCAAAGGCUCAACCUUUGAAUGCCGGUGGAUACUGUCGGGCUAGAGUCCGGAAGAGGCGAGUGGAAUUCCAGGUGUAGCGGUGAAAUGCGUAGAUAUCUGGAGGAACACCGGUGGCGAAGGCGGCAUACUGGACCACCACUGACGCUGAUGCGCGAAAGCCAGGGGAGCAAACGGG
rnacentral:rRNA from 1 species